AGUUUGAUUCCUGGCUCAGAUUGAACGCUGGCGGCAGGCCUAACACAUGCAAGUCGAGCGGUAGCACAGAGAGCUUGCUCUCGGGUGACGAGCGGCGGACGGGUGAGUAAUGUCUGGGAAACUGCCUGAUGGAGGGGGAUAACUACUGGAAACGGUAGCUAAUACCGCAUAACGUCGCAAGACCAAAGUGGGGGACCUUCGGGCCUCAUGCCAUCAGAUGUGCCCAGAUGGGAUUAGCUGGUAGGUGGGGUAACGGCUCACCUAGGCGACGAUCCCUAGCUGGUCUGAGAGGAUGACCAGCCACACUGGAACUGAGACACGGUCCAGACUCCUACGGGAGGCAGCAGUGGGGAAUAUUGCACAAUGGGCGCAAGCCUGAUGCAGCCAUGCCGCGUGUGUGAAGAAGGCCUUCGGGUUGUAAAGCACUUUCAGCGGGGAGGAAGGCGGUGAGGUUAAUAACCUCAUCGAUUGACGUUACCCGCAGAAGAAGCACCGGCUAACUCCGUGCCAGCAGCCGCGGUAAUACGGAGGGUGCAAGCGUUAAUCGGAAUUACUGGGCGUAAAGCGCACGCAGGCGGUCUGUCAAGUCGGAUGUGAAAUCCCCGGGCUCAACCUGGGAACUGCAUUCGAAACUGGCAGGCUAGAGUCUUGUAGAGGGGGGUAGAAUUCCAGGUGUAGCGGUGAAAUGCGUAGAGAUCUGGAGGAAUACCGGUGGCGAAGGCGGCCCCCUGGACAAAGACUGACGCUCAGGUGCGAAAGCGUGGGGA
rnacentral:rRNA from 1 species